rnacentral:rRNA from 1 species
GAUGAACGCUAGCUACAGGCUUAACGCAUGCAAGUCGAGGGGUAACGAGAGGAAAGCUUGCUUUCCUUGUCGACGACCGGCGCACGGGUGAGUAACGCGUAUCCAACCUGCCCCCAACUAGGGAAUAACAUUGCGAAAGUAAGACUAAUACCCUAUAAUUUCCUCAGAUGACAUCUGACGAGGAAUAAAGAUUUAUCGGUUGUGGAUGGGGAUGCGUCUGAUUAGCUUGUUGGCGGGGUAACGGCCCACCAAGGCAACGAUCAGUAGGGGUUCUGAGAGGAAGGUCCCCCACAUCGGAACUUAGACACGGACCAAACUCCUACGGGAGGCAGCAGUGAGGAAUAUUGGUCAAUGGGCGGAAGCCUGAACCAGCCAAGUAGCGUGCAGGAUGACGGCCCUAUGGGUUGUAAACUGCUUUUAUACAGGAAUAAAGUUAGCCACGUGUGGUUAUUUGUAGGUACUGUAUGAAUAAGGACCGGCUAAUUCCGUGCCAGCCGCCGCAGUAA